rnacentral:rRNA from 1 species
UACAGAGGUCCCAAGCGUUGUUCGGAUUCAUUGGGCGUAAAGGGUGCGUAGGUGGCGCCGUAAGUCAGGUGUGAAAUCUCGGGGCUUAACUCCGAAACUGCAUUUGAUACUGCGGUGCUUGAGGACUGGAGAGGAGACUGGAAUUUACGGUGUAGCAGUGAAAUGCGUAGAGAUCGUAAGGAAGACCAGUGGCGAAGGCGGCUUCCUGGUCCAACACUGACACUGAGGUGCGAAAGCGUGGGGAGCAAACGGG